CGGAAACGCGUGAACGCGGUGUCUCCUGUCGCCGCACGGCUCCGGUACGCCCAUCAGCUGAGCAUCUCGGACGGUGCAGAGCAACCUAACCUGGGCGUACGUACGGGGAAUGGCAAGAGCGGCGUCCAAUCACAAGCCCGCAACGGGUGCAGAGGGGUGGGACGGAGACGCCCGGCCUCACCGUUCCUCGGCGCGAUUGUUAUCUGUCAUCCAAUAGAUGGACGCGAAUCCUGAAACUUGUUAAGCUUUCCCAUUGUCUUCCCCGCCGCCCUCUUCUGCAUCUAAUGCUCAUCUGAUCAACAAUGAUUUAACGGAUCCGUUUUUCAGGCCUGCAGGAACAUGUGGCACCUGCUAGGUACCACGCUCAAGGGAUGUCCACGCUUGGAUGAAUCCAGGAGGAGGUUGGCUGUGCAGUGGGAGCGUAUGAACAGAGAGGGUGUCCAAGCCUCCUCCUGCAGCACAGCAAGCAGUUCACAGGCUUCGACGAGAGCUCUGGAAUGUCACAGAGAUUAGGAGCUUUUGCCUCCCGCACCCGACGGAUCGGCUCUGACUGCCCCC
ensembl:lncRNA